GGUGUUUUUUGGACCGCUGCAUUAGCUCCUUUCUGAGCUAUGACCACAGCCUGGCAGCCUAUGAGCAGGGGAAGAACUGAUUGCUGAACUGUAAGGCAGCUGCCUUGCUCAUGUGCACAGUGACAUAUGAGUGUCACAGAGUGAUGCUGUGUGAACUAUAAAUUCUCCACCCACCCCAGAUCCAGCCUGACAACAGCCUGACCUCACUUCCAUCAUGUGAACAAUUUCAAGCAGAGCUUUUCAGCAGAGGGAUAUACAGGGAUUUUCCCAAGGUUUACAGAGUCUCAGAUCGGAGCUUAUCAGAGGACAGCUGCUAAACAACGCACAAAGCCACCACUGCUGAAGUUAAAAGAUAUCACCUAGGAAAUGUUUGAAAAAAGGCAUAGUCCCUGCUGCAAGAAAAGACCAGAUAGCACAGGAGUGUGCAGAAAUUCAUCUUAAAAGUGGUAAAGAAUGCUGUAAACUGAUGACCUGUUUUUCCUGUAAAUAGAAGUCACGUGUAAUUACAG